UCGCCAUUUUCUUCCGUUGCCCAGUCCUUGGCCCAGUCAUCGAAGUUUCCUAACUGCUCAGCUGUGUCGGCAGUGCGUGCCCGUGUCCCGUGUGUGCGCAACUGUGAUCUCGACGCUGGACGUGAACGGCAUUUAGCGACGGCAGUGCAACAUCCCGUACUGUGAGCGUGUUGAUUUCAUGAUGGUGUGGAAACUCAAACGAGCUUGCACCUUUGUGUAUGCGUGUUCGGCCAGCACCUGGUUCGGCACGUUCGGAAACGCGAACGAUGGUGCUCAAGAUGGCACAUGCAACGCUAUGCAGCUGUGGACACCAGCAGCUUGAUAAGAACUCUUGAAGCUCAUCUGGAUGCUUCACAGAACCUGGGAGGACUGAACACUUUUGGCAAAGCAGGAACAGUUCUGGCCCACCUGUUUGUCUACAAGACGGUCUCUUCUGCGAGUACUCCUGUGCCUUACAGUAUACUAUACUGAUGAUCUUAUACAUCUCUCAGUAUUAAGGAUUGUCAGCACUUGGACUGCUUCACUGUGUUAUGCACGCUGCUGAGUCUAAACUUUCCAAUAACAGUGUGCAUUUGAAAAUUUUGCAUGGCUUGAAAAGAUGCUGAAUGUAAACUCAUUUAAUUUGCUAAGCAUGAUUCUUGACUGUUCUACAGCUGUUAUUUAUUGCCUGUUCAAUUUUUAUUCAACCUCAUGGCAUGUCCAGUCCUUGGCUCUAAUGUGCCAAGCCACCACCAGUAUUGAUAGGCAAUUUUUAAUUCAAAGCAUGUUAUUCCCUAACUCCGAGCACCAGCUGGCGUGUAAACAUUGUAACCAUUGGUCUACUACUUAUGCAUAAAAUACGGGUGAAGAGGGUUGUGAAAUAAUGCCAUGUUCCCAAGCUUAACUUUAUAAAUUUACAUUAUUUCUUAAAAUAUGUGAAUAAAGGCGACUGUGUUUACAAACCUUGGCAGGUGGAUCCAUGGUCGACACCACACGUCUUUAUACAAAAACGUGAACUGCACAAUGAUGUGUAACAUGUUUUCAUGCCUGAGGGCAAACUAAUGCAAUAUAAAGAAAAAUGGUACACCAACAUGCCUAUUGCACAGCCACAUUUCUCAGAAGUGUUGCAAGUCCUUAUUGACUUAUCGAGUUGCCUUCAUGUGUCAGCAGACACCAAGUUCUCUGUGCAUCAGAGGCAUAGGGAGGAAUUUGAAGUGGGGGCCGGUCAGGCAGAUGCGGUCAAGUGUCGUUUUUGGCUCUGUAUGCCAUAGCAAAAAAAAAACUUCAGAGGGGGGGGGGGGCGGUGUGCCCCCCACUGGCUAUGCUACUGCUGUGCAUGCCAUCUCUUUGGAUUGUACUUGCAUACUGGCAUUGCGAAGUGUAUGUGUUGUGCUUUGUGAUGAAUUUUAGAACUAUACUUUCAUAUUAUUUUACUGCUGUGAAUUAGUGCUCAGGUUGCAUUGUGUAUGUUGUUUCAUCUGUUCAAUAAUGAGCAUAGGUUCUGUGGUAGAGGAAAAUGUAUGUUUUUACAUUGACAUUGUGGAUGUUGUUGUUCUGAUUCCAAUAAAGUACGGCAACCAGUAUUUAUUGUAUUAUUUCAAGUUUAAGAAUUUGUAAUGCAUUCAAACAAAAAGUCAUUGUGCAUGUAAAAGAAAUUGUUCACGCUCUUACAUAUAGGUCAGUGGUUCUCAGCCAUGGAUGUUUCGGGGACCCCUUGUGGACUGGUGGAAGUGAUGAGGGACCCCUUGCAGUGAGAGAUAAAGCACAACAUGCAGCUUGAGAUAGGUGCCUUGUGUUUCUCCGUGGCAAAGAAUGGUCAAACUAAAUGUCACGCCAAUUCAAUCUCAACAGCUUGUCAAUAAGUCGUGCGGUCUGCCGCCACAUUUCAGCUGUUUCUUGCUAUGCUCUCUCUUCAAAUACGCAAGCCUGGAAAAGCACAUGUCGUAGAAAAUUGCAGUAAAAGCUUUACAGCCAUCU